AACUCAAGAUAUCUGCUGGCCUCUGCGUGCUGGGAUUAAAGGCGUUCACUACCACCACUCAGACUCGCAGGAGCCUCUCUUUCCAUGUGACAUCACUACUGCCAACUCCAAACGUGCUGACACAGAGGAUGAGGAUUACAGGGUAGAAGAGAAGUGAGAUCCUGAGGAAAGCCUUCUGCUUAUGCAACUUGGCCCUUCAGUAAAUUGGAAUAAAGAUCCAGACACAGCCUCAGGCCGUCACACUCUGCUUGUCACAGCGUCGUCUUCUCUGAGCUACGCAAUGUGUACACAUGCACACACCCAUACUGGUAUGUUAGAAACAGACUUGAUUCUUCAGACCAGUGGUUCUCCACCUUCCUAACACUGUGACCCUUUAAUACAGUUCCUCAUGUUGUCGUGACCCUCAACCACAAGAUUACUUUGCUGCUACUUCAUAACUGUAAUUUUGCUACUGUUGUGAAUCAUAAUGUAGAUUUUCAAUAGUCUUAGAUGAAGCCUGUGAAAGGGUCAUCCAAUACCUCCAAAGGUGUCCCAGCCCACAGGUCUGUUUCAGACUGUCUCAAAAACAAGCAGAAUAGCAAAGCUGGUAACUCUUUACCUCCUCCCUCGCCGGCCAGCCCUUCCAGCAACCUAAGCACGUACCAGUGCCAUCUGCUCCCCAUGGUCCCUGCCAAGCUGGUUCCCACCUAUCUGGGAACCACAGUGAGACCCUCUGGAGUGCAGAGGGCAUCCCUGUACUUCCCAGUCACCUACAGCCCUGCAGACGGGGAGAUGAGUUUGCCCUGGCCUCCUGGGCUCUACCUGGGUGCCCUGGACCUGCUCCACGUCUGCACCCAAGCAUCUCACAAGCUAGUGGAACAGACACCGAUCAUCAGGGCAGCUCAUCUCAUGCCCCAGCUCUAUUACUGGGUGGACUA